rnacentral:Y_RNA from 1 species
AGUUGGUCGAGUGCAAUGGUGUUUACAACUAAUUGAUCACAACCAGUUACAGAUUCCUUUGUUCCUUCUCCACUCCCACUGCUUCACUUGAUCAACCUUUA